rnacentral:misc_RNA from 1 species
GGAGAAGCUUCCUCCUCCAUCCACCAAAUGUCAAUUAUCAUUCUUCUCUAUCUCGAACCCUAGCUUGUUCAUCGAUCGGAGAAAUCACCGUUAAGUUUCAGCUAAGAUGGGGAAACAACCAGUUAAGCUGAAAGCAGUUGUUUACGCUUUAUCGCCAUUCCAACAGAAGAUUAUGCCAGGUCUAUGGAAGGACCUUCCUGGUAAAAUCCAUCACAAAGUCUCUGAAAAUUGGAUCAGCGCUACUCUCUUGCUCGGUCCUCUCAUUGGCACAUACUCGUACGUGCAGCAUUUCCUGGAGAAGGAGAAGUUAGAACACAGAUAC